rnacentral:rRNA from 1 species
AUUUGGAAAAUUAACGUGCCUUUAAAGUUAAAAGUCUUUAGGUGGUUUGUUCACGAGAAAGUGAUUUUGACUAAAGAUAACUUGGCAAUACAUAGUUUCGAGGGUAGUAAAUGGUGUGCUCUCUGUGAUCAACAUGAAUAGAUUCCACAUCUUUUUCUCAAAUGCCGACUAGCCAAGCUACUAUGGCGCGCAUUGCACGCCUUUAAUGUAUGUCCUCCUAAUACAAUUGCUACUUUAUUUGAGACCUGGCUAAAUGGUUACUUUAGGCUAUAUGGGAUUAAUGAAAUUACGUGA